rnacentral:lncRNA from 1 species
UCAUGUGUUGUCUAAUCACCUCUCCGCAAUAUUUGUUUGACCGACCAAUGCUUCCUUGUACCUACUAUAUCCAACCUCUCAAAUCUCCUCAUGACUGGGGUGUCUGCACCUCGCCUCUUCCCAUGACAAAUGAUCUCAAUCUCGCUUUCCUCAUCUUGUUCACCACGAAGACCUUCCUAAUCCUAUUGCACCUAGUAUGCCC